AUUUCCACCCGACUGGACCCUGACCACAGAGAAGCUGUGUGUUCAGCCACAGGGGUUAAAUCAGACGUCUCCAUCUCAUGGAGAACUUCAUGGAACGCCACUGUAACCAGCAGCUCUGUACACAACCCAGAUGGCUCCUACACCAUGGAGAUCCGGCUCAAACUGCCCGACCAUGUGUAUGGUACCACGCUGCAGUGCAUAGUGACACACCCCAGCUGGACAGAGAAUUAUACACAGACACUUCAGCUCCUCGAUCCAUUAAUAGGCAGAAGAAACUUUAAAGUCUGGCAGUGGAUAAUCAUUUAUCUCACCCUAUUCUGCUUUUUAACGGGCAUUCUUGUUGGACUUUACAUCUUAAGAAAACAUCUCAGCAAGAUAAGACAUUGCUGCAAGUUAAGCACGUCAGCAGCCCCCUCACUCCGCCAACCACAAAAACGUUGGUGAAGGUGUGUAAAAUGUGGCAGUAGUUGAACCAAAUAGUGAGAUUUGGGGGGCAUCGUUAGGCCUAUUUUAGUGGGACUUUUGUGCCCUUUAAAAUGUUUUUCAGCCCCCUAAAAAAAUAUGUAUUUAUUGGCUUAAGUAGUGAAUAGUUUGUCAUCAGCCCCCCCCCCUCCUCUAAUUGCACUCAGCCCCCUAUCCAUUCAUCUCUAACUAUGUCCCUGGAGAGACUGAAUCAAUAGCCCAUACCUCCCACAAUACUGAUAUAUUCCUGUUUUCCCUCAAGUUUCCCUGAAGUAGGAGAAGUCAACCAUGGGAACUGUUGAUUCUCCUCUAAACUAGCACUAACUGAUUAAUUUAUUGUGAUAAAUUGUAACUUCUGAAAACCAAUCUGAUGAUUUGAAAAAGCACACCGGUUUUCAUGCAUAUAUAUUAAGAAAAAGAAAUCUAUGGAAAAUCUGUAGUUAUAUGUUGCUAUUGUUAAGCAUAUUUAGUGUAUUUCACAAAACUUUAUUUAACUAAUUGAAUAAAAUGUUUAAUGGUGUGAAAUGUAAAAUUUUGAUAGUCUUCUUUCCUGAAACCCUACACCUGUUCUGUUUCCCAGAAUAGUUCUUCUGUACUCUGUAGCAGGUCUUAUAUCUUAAUAAAAUAUAACCUCUUCUGGGUGCUAAAAAGCAAAAUAAAACUUUAUUUCAUUUCUUCUCAGAGGGGAGAGGGUGUGAAUGUGAGAGCAGACUGCUGUAGCGCAUUGCAGGAGUUCUUUGACAAUUCAUACUGCACAUCUACACCGUUCUUUAUGUUUUGUUCUGAAACCCACCAGCCACAGCUUCCGGCUGUGAGUCUACAGCAGUGACCUGUUUUCCUGGCUAAUGAUGCAUUAUUAGCUGUACUGUUAGUCAAAAUCAAAAAAUAUCAAAAAUGAUUGGUGUUCAAGUAUGGACAAUACUGCUAGAAAUAAAAAAACUAUA